rnacentral:rRNA from 1 species
UACGUAGGGCGCAAGCGUUGUCCGGAAUUAUUGGGCGUAAAGAGCUCGUAGGUGGUUUGUCGCGUCUGCCGUGAAAGCCCGGGGCUUAACUCCGGGUCUGCGGUGGAUACGGGCAGACUAGAGGCAGGUAGGGGAGAACGGAAUUCCCGGUGUAGCGGUGAAAUGCGCAGAUAUCAGGAAGAACACCCGUGGCUAAGGCGGCUCUCUAGUACGGUACUGACGCUGAGACGCGAAAGCGUGGGGAGCGAACAGG